GACGUAGGGGGCGAGCGUUGUCCGGAGUUACUGGGCGUAAAGGGCCCGCAGGCGGUCUGGCGCGUUGGGAGGGACAGUCGGCGGCUUAACCGCCGAAGGCCUCACAAGACGGCGAGACUGGAGGGCCUCAGAGGGACAUGGAAGUCCGGGUGGAGCGGUGAAAUGCGUAGAGAUCCGGAGGAACACCAAAGGCGAAGGCAGUGUCCUGGGAGGCUCCUGACGCUCGGGGGCGAAGGCCAGGGGAG
rnacentral:rRNA from 1 species